UACGAAGGGGACUAGCGUUGUUCGGAAUUAUUGGGCGUAAAGGGCACGCAGGCGGUUUUACAAGUCCGAUGUUAAAGACCUGGGCUUAACUCAGGGGAUGCGUUGGAAACUGUAAGACUAGAGUAUUAGAGGGGGAGUCGGAAUUCCUAGUGUAGGGGUGAAAUCUGUUGAUAUUAGGAAGAACACCGGUGGCGAAGGCGGACUCCUGGCUGAAUACUGACGCUGAGGUGCGAAAGCAUAGGGAGCAAACAGG
rnacentral:rRNA from 1 species